UGGGGAAUUUUGGACAAUGGGCGAAAGCCUGAUCCAGCAAUGCCGCGUGUGUGAAGAAGGCCUUCGGGUUGUAAAGCACUUUUGUCCGGAAAGAAAUCCUUGGCUCUAAUACAGUCGGGGGAUGACGGUACCGGAAGAAUAAGCACCGGCUAACUACGUGCCAGCAGCCGCGGUAAUACGUAGGCUGCAAGCGUUAAUCGGAAUUACUGGGCGUAAAGCGUGCGCAGGCGGUUUGCUAAGACCGAUGUGAAAUCCCCGGGCUCAACCUGGGAACUGCAUUGGUGACUGGCAGGCUAGAGUAUGGCAGAGGGGGGUAGAAUUCCACGUGUAGCAGUGAAACGCGUAGAGAUGUGGAGAAUACCGAUGGNGAAGGCACCCCCUGGGCAAUACUGACGCUCAUGCACGAAAGCGUGGGGAGCAAACAGGAUUAGAUACCCUGGUAGUCCACGCCCUAAACGAUGUCAACUAGUUGUUGGGGAUUCAUUUCCUUAGUAACGUAGCUAACGCGUGAAGUUGACCGCCUGGGGAGUACGGUCGCAAGAUUAAAACUUAAAGGAA
rnacentral:rRNA from 1 species